GUUAUGUUCUCCAGCCUGAGCUUGUACAACGUGUCUUGAAGGAUCUAGUGAAGAUCAGUGCUGGUUCAACAGCCGAGAAUGUUGAUAUCCUUUUAUGUUAUGUGCUUUUCACUUUAUUGAUGUUACUUGCAUGCUUUUUACUUGAUUGAUGUUGCUUGUUGCAUGAUUUUACAAGCAGGAAAAUAGUCUGUGCUUGGGCAGUGCCUAUUCUUGGUAAUAAAUUCUCUUAUUAAUUAUAAAAAAAAUGUCUGUGCUCUUGAAUGCACCAAGGGUGGUGGCUCAAUGGUCUCUAGGUUACUCCCAAGUGGUUUGGCAUGUACUACGUACUGGGUUCGAAUUCGAGUAUGGAUUCAUCUUAGACUAAUACUAUUAGCCACAAAGAUUUAUUGAAUUCUCUAGCGGGGUUAGGGUCUAAGCUAUGGCCUAAACCCUUCUUGAGGGAGCGACUGCAGUCUAGGCCCAUCCUGUCCGAUUCCCAAAAGGUAGGGUAAUACUACUUUGGUCACGCUAAGGUAGGGAAAACCAUCUUUGGUCGCCCCCUCCCACCCUUUUUCACUCAUAAAAAAAAAAAAAAAGUAGGAACAUUGUUUAAGAUUCCAAUGGAUGAUUGGGGUAGCAAUUGAACUAAUGACUGCAGUGUUCAAUUUGAAUUCAGAGACACAUGGAGGGUGAAAAAUGGUAUUUUUUUUAAUUCAAUUGGAAGUCUGUUAUGAUGCUUUUGUAUCUUUGUUUCACCCUCAGGAUCUAACAUGUCUCUAAGCUGAGUGUGUUAGCUCAAGGAUUUGUUACAUUGUUGUUUUAGUGGAAAAUAUGAGUGCAAAUUGAGGUUUUCCUUCUUGUGAAACGUAUGAUAAGUCAUAGUUGAAAAUCUGAACAAGAGGAAGAUGGAGACGGAAAUGCUCGUGAUGUGAGUAAAAAACCUGCACCUGCACCCGUUGCAAAGGCCAACGCCCCGGAGGCUGGAACAAAUGCUGGGGAGCGUGACAGAAGUGACUGAUGAAUCUGAUGACUCAAUCUGACUUGAAGCCUCUUCUAGAAUUGAAAAGUUGUAUAGGAUUAACAAGAGCUGUAACCUGUUGUUCCUGCUUAGUUUGGAGUAUUUUCUUGAGUUUGCAAUCUCUAUUUGUUAUUUAAUUUACUGAAUAUUUAGCUAUAUGGUGUUUAUCAUCAAUAACUUCGGCAAUUUCUUCUAGAAAUGGUGUUGGACUGUGUCAAAUACGAUGGCAAACUAGAGCAUUGCCUGACUCUUCACCUA